AGAGUUUGAUCCUGGCUCAGGACGAACGCUGGCGGUGUGCUUAACACAUGCAAGUCAAGGAGAACUUUAUCUUCGGAUAAAUAUUAAACUGGCGAACGGGUGAGUAACGCGUAAAUAACUUGCCUUGGAGAUUGGGAUAACAUUGGGAAACCAGUGCUAAUACCAAAUAAUGCAGCGGGCCCUUCGGGGCAUUUGUUGUUAAAGUAGGCUUCGGCUUACACUUCGAGAUAGAUUUGCGUCCGAUUAGUUUGUUGGUAGGGUAAUUGCCUACCAAGGCGAAGAUCGGUAGCUGGUCUGAGAGGAUGAUCAGCCACACUGGAAUUGAGAUACGGUCCAGACUCCUACGGGAGGCAGCAGUGAGGAAUUUUGCACAAUGGGCGAAAGCCUGAUGCAGCAACACCGCGUGAUUGAUGAAGUUUUUAGGAAUGUAAAAAUCUGUCGUAAGGGAAGAAAUGUUUCAGAUGUUAAUACCAUCUGUCAUUGACGGUACCUUACAAGAAAGGACCGGCUAACUUCGUGCCAGCAGCCGCGGUAAUACGAGGGGUCCUAGCGUUGUCCGGAUUUACUGGGCGUAAAGGGUACGUAGGCGUUUUAAAAAGUUAUGUGUUAAAUACUUUAGCUUAACUAAAGAAGUGCACAUAAAACUAUUAAAAUAGAGUUUGAGAGAGGAACGCAAAAUUCAUGGUGGAGCGGGGGACAUGCGUA
rnacentral:rRNA from 1 species